UACGUAGGGUGCAAGCGUUGUCCGGAAUUAUUGGGCGUAAAGAGCUCGUAGGCGGUUUGUUGCGUCGGCUGUGAAAUCCCGAGGCUCAACCUCGGGUCUGCAGUCGAUACGAGCAAACUAGAGUGUUGCAGGGGAGACUGGAAUUCCUGGUGUAGCGGUGAAAUGCGCAGAUAUCAGGAGGAACACCGGUGGCGAAGGCGGGUCCUG
rnacentral:rRNA from 1 species